rnacentral:rRNA from 1 species
AGAGUUUGAUCCUGGCUCAGGACGAACGCUGGCGGUGCGCUUAAUGCAUGCAAGUCGAACGGGCAAAGGGGCUUCGGCCUCGGCGCUAGUGGCAGACGGCUGAGUAACACGUAAGUGAUCUGCCCCGGAGAGGGGGAUAACCCGGAGAAAUCCGGCCUAAUACCCCAUACGUUCAUGUGGUUAUGGCCAUGUGAAGAAAGGUUUACGUCGCUCUGGGAGGAGCUUGCGGCCUAUCAGGUAGUUGGUGGGGUAAAGGCCUACCAAGCCGAAGACGGGUAACCGAUGUGAGAGCAUGAUCGGUCAGAGGGGGACUGAGACACGGCCCCCACUCCUACGGGAGGCAGCAGCAGGGAAUCUUGCGCAAUGGGCGAAAGCCUGACGCAGCGACACCGCGUGGGGGAAGAAGGCCUCAGGGUUGUAAACCCCUUUUCUGUGGGAAGAGAUAGGACGGUACCACAGGAAUAAGCAUCGGCUAACUACGUGCCAGCAGCCGCGGUAAUACGUAGGAUGCAAGCGUUGUCCGGAUUUACUGGGCGUAAAGGGUGUGUAGGCGGCAUGGUAAGUCUCAUGUGAAAUCUCCCGGCUCAACUGGGAGGGGUCAUGGGAAACUGCCAAGCUUGAGGGCAGCAGAGGAAAGCGGAAUUCCGGGAGUAGUGGUGGAAUGCGUAGAUACCCGGAGGAACACCAGAGGCGAAGGCGGCUUUCUGGGCUGUGCCUGACGCUGAUACACGAAAGCGUGGGGAGCAAACCGGAUUAGAUACCCGGGUAGUCCACGCCCUAAACGAUGGAUACUAGAUAUAGGGGGUAUCGACCCCUCCUGUGUCGGAGUUAACGCGAUAAGUAUCCCGCCUGGGGAGUACGGCCGCAAGGCUAAAACUCAAAGGAAUUGACGGGUCCCCGCACAAGCGGCGGAGCGUGUGGUUUAAUUCGAUGAUAAGCGAAGAACCUUACCUGGGCUUGACAUGCAUUUGACAACCCAUGAAAAUGGGCUUUCCUUCGGGACAGAUGCACAGAUGUUGCAUGGCUGUCGUCAGCUCGUG